rnacentral:rRNA from 1 species
GACGAACGCUGGCGGCGUGCCUAACACAUGCAAGUCGAACGAAGAUUGCUUGAAUUGAGACUUCGGUCAAUUUUCAAAUAAUCUUAGUGGCGGACGGGUGAGUAACGCGUGAGUAACCUGCCGUUCAGAGGGGGACAACAGUUGGAAACGACUGCUAAUACCGCAUAACGUACAGUUUUGGCAUCAUUACUGUACCAAAGGAGCAAUCCGCUGAAUGAUGGACUCGCGUCCGAUUAGAUAGUUGGUGGGGUAACGGCCUACCAAGUCUACGAUCGGUAGCCGGACUGAGAGGUUGAACGGCCACAUUGGGACUGAGACACGGCCCAGACUCCUACGGGAGGCAGCAGUGGGGGAUAUUGCACAAUGGAGGAAACUCUGAUGCAGCAACGCCGCGUGAGGGAAGAAGGUUUCGGUAUGUAAAGCUCUAUCAGCAGGGAAGAAAAUGACGGUACCUGACUAAGAAGCACCGGCUAAAUACGUG